rnacentral:lncRNA from 1 species
GCUGAGUGCUUGUCCUUACCAGCUACACUCUCCUGCUAGUCCAUCAAUCAAUUAGAUCAUCACUCCAUUGAGGCCAGGAAUCAUGUCUUAUUUUUCUUGCAGUAUCCUUCACUGCUGAAGGCCUCCGGGGAAUUCACCUGCCGUGCCUGCUUAUGGACUGAGAACCUGGGACUUACAUUUUGCAGCCGGUCCUUGCUCACUGACACGACUGAAACACAGCUUCUGGAACAGUAAUUCGGGUGUUAUUUGAAACACAGUAGCCUAGACCUUGACUGUACUCGCACUAGGUGGAAAAUUAAACCAGAAACUAUUACAUUCUGAUAACUACUUUUACGGUGGCUUUGGAAACUCAUGGGAUCUACUUUAGCUCACAGAAUGAGCACAAAGAAAGGACAGAUUGUAAGUGAGGAGCUGUUGGUGAUGUGAGAGUGAUACCUGCCCAAACACACUGGAAGCCAGCGGCCAUCGGUCCUGCACAUUUCAGUCCAGAGUGCUCACUGUUACACCAGGAAGACACGUCAGUCCUGCACGUUUCAAUUGUCUUCUUCACCUGUCCCUCAUUUCAAUAACUACCACAGUAGAGGAGCUAGUGAUGUCCUUUAUCUGGGUACUGGAAGGAGCUGUAGCAUCUUGGGAACUUGCGAGAACAAGAACAUUCCACACCACCCCUCACCUCCUCAGUCAGAAUCUACAUUUCUACAAAACCCUUGAUGAUAACCUGCCUGUGAAGGACUUGCCAUACCUGAGUUGCUAA